GGUGGCGUGUCCGGGCGGCCGAAGGACCACGUCUCGAACACGUGUGAGGGGGAAACUCCUCCGUGGGUUCAAAUCCCACCGCCACCG
rnacentral:tRNA from 1 species